AGCCCGAGGCCAAGGGCAGCGGCAGGGAGGAGCAAUCCCACGUCCAAGGAGCCGUGGCUGCGCGGGCGCAAGAGGGCCUAGAGGAGCUAUCCCACAUUGAAGGUCAGGAAGGGCAGCGAUGAGGAGAUACCCGUCGUCCGAGGUAAGGAGCAAUGGCUGCGCUUUGCUGGAGCAGCCCUGAAGAGAUACCCCACGCCCAAGCCCCUACUGAGGUCCCCACAAUAGCAACCUCAUCUGACCAUUCCCCUGAGAUCCCACGGAACUGAAAGGCUCUGCUGCUCUGUCACGCGCACCUGGAAAACGUACUGCGAUAUUCCGUGCAUUCAUCUCAUCUUUUCCAAGAGACUGUGCACUCCUUGAGUACAGUGACCGUUGUUCACAUGCUCUCAAUAAAACACGUGUUGCCUGAAA